rnacentral:lncRNA from 1 species
UUUAUUUAUUUACUUAUUUAUUUCAGCUGGGACUUCAAUGUACCUUUCGACCAGGCAAAAUAGUGAUCAUCUGAUUUUUGGGGAAGCUUCUCAAAAUAAUUUUAUGGACGUCUACAUAGGACAGUUAAGGACUGAAUGUCUUUCCUAUAGAGAUUAUGAUGAUAUUAAAAUCAAAAAGUGCCAAACCCCAUCAUUUUGAAUAUACACCUAGGGUCACACCGUUCAUGAGGCAAACAAGACUAAAAAUUGGUAAUUGAUUACAACAGGUAAGCUCCUCUGACAGAAGGCGUUUGGAGUCUUCAAAAGGUGCAGCUGAAAGAUCAAAUGUGAAAUUAAAGUUUAAUGAAGGUGAUGGUUGUUCCUCUACCCAUUUCCCCACCCCCCCCGGGGGAUCAGAAGAUCAUUUAAUAAGGCUGUUUUUAUACACAAAUGCAACUUGUUUAUUUUGACCUCAGUUCUUCGAAAUUGUCGACGCCACACUGAAAUAUGCUGUGUGUUCCAACAAGGACCCAGCAGUCGUAAUGACAGACCAGCCCAUCUGUGCUGCGAGAAUGUAUAAUUUCAGUCUAUAGUGGAAUUUAUAUAGAAGCGAGAUCAUGUGAAAACUGAGAUGCGUGGUACUUUCUUCGAAAAAAAUAUCGCUACAUGAUAUUUGGUCUCAUCUAACUAUCCCAACUGCAUAAGAUGUAUGCUGGAAAAUGUAUUAUCCAGAUACAGUAAGACGAUUAGAGGAACAGAACCUCAGAGGAAGAUACUAAUUUAGAGGGAAAAUGCUCAUUUAUGGAGAUUAAUUGAUUUUAUGCUACCUGCCCCUACCCUGUCCAAAAAGACGGCGAGUUAACUCUCAGGAAAUGGGACUAUCGCUCCAGGAUUUAGAAUUAAAGGCCGAUUCACCAACAUUAAUUAUAACAAAAAAUAAAAUUAAAAAAAAAAGGAGGAGUGGGCAGCUCUGAGAAGUCUAAAUUCUUUCCAAAUGAUUACCCCCCUCCCCGCCCCCUCUACCAGCUUCUCUAGUCUCUCGACUCCUCUGCCUUUAGAAUUUAUGACACUCUGUUUCUUGCUAUUACUUUUAUUUUGCCACCAGUGUUUUAUUUGGUGCUUGCUAAAUAUUUGGGUGGAGUGAUCUUCCAGCUUGCAGCAGCAGAAUGUGGCUGUCAUAGUCAUGAAAAUGUUUUAAUUAUCUCUGCUACAGAGAUGCCUGUCUCUGCAGCCCCAAGUCCUCCAGUACCGACUGCUGUCUAAUCUAAGAACAAAAGCGGCCGCAGAUAUUCCUCGUGCGCUGAGCUCACUUUCAACAUUUGCUGGUGUCUGCUCCGGCCAGCCGGCGGCUCAGGCCGGCACACACAGGACCCGAACGCCUCUGAUGCCAGAAAAUAACCAAAAAACCUAUUUACGUGGGAAUUUUCCUCUGAGUUGCACCCCAGCACUUCCUGGGCCUGAUCUCCCAUGUUCUGUAAAUCAAGACCCUGGCUACCCUCGAACGUGGGGAACCCAGGCUGUGUCUGCGGGAGCUUUGUCAGCCUGCCAGAGGAGCGAGGUGAGCUUGGAGCUGCACUCUGCAAAGACCACGUCUUAAAUGAAAAGCUUCAGGGACCAACAGAGAAACGCGGGCAGCCAUGGACCCCAGUUCCUGGACAGCAGCGGCAGCGUGGCCUGGGGACUGACUCCCUGCCCGACGGUCCACCGUUCAGCCCUGGCCAGUCAGGAUGGCUGGGGCCACAGCUCUGCAGGUGGGAAACCAGGACAGGAUCAGGGCACAGGCAGGCCCUGGGACCACUCAGGGCCCCCGAGGGCUGGUCUGGUGGACGUGCCCCCCGUGAGCCGUCUGUGGGCAGGGCAGUUAUAAACCAGGCAGGGCAAGGCUAGCUGGAAGCCCCGGGCUUAAAUAAGUGCUUAAAAAAACAAAGCCCCAAACAACCGAAGAGAUUUCCCCCACACUGAGCUGAGCACCGAAAAGAGCUUCUUCUUCCCCCCCCGGCCCCCCCAAAAAUAAAAUAAAAGGGAGAAAGAACUGGAUUCCUAAACUUGUGGACAUGGCAGCAUUCAAGAUGCCGGAUGAAAUGAAAGGGCCUCUGUUUCUCAAAGCAGCACCCACCCUCCCGUGUGCCAGCCUGGCCCUGCCUGCCGAGGAGUUUGCUGGAAGGAGCAUGGAUGGUUCUGGUGUUUUUCCCUGUGCCAC